AUACGGAGGGUGCGAGCGUUAACCGGAAUUACUGGGCGUAAAGGGUGCGUAGGCGGCUUGAUAAGUCGGAUGUGAAAGCCCCGGGCUUAACCUGGGAAUUGCAUUCGAUACUGUCAGGCUAGAGUAUGUCAGAGGUUGGCGGAAUUCCUGGUGUAGCGGUGAAAUGCGUAGAUAUCAGGAGGAACACCAGUGGCGAAGGCGGCUAACUGGGGCAAUACUGACGCUUAGGCACGAAAGCGUGGGGAGCGAACAGGAUUAGAAACCCUAGUAGUCC
rnacentral:rRNA from 1 species